rnacentral:rRNA from 1 species
AGUGAACGCUGGCGGUAGGCCUAACACAUGCAAGUCGAACGGCAGCACAGUAAGAGCUUGCUCUUACGGGUGGCGAGUGGCGGACGGGUGAGGAAUACAUCGGAAUCUACUUUUUCGUGGGGGAUAACGUAGGGAAACUUACGCUAAUACCGCAUACGACCUACGGGUGAAAGCAGGGGAUCUUCGGACCUUGCGCGAUUGAAUGAGCCGAUGUCGGAUUAGCUGGUUGGCGGGGUAAAGGCCCACCAAGGCGACGAUCCGUAGCUGGUCUGAGAGGAUGGUAGGCCACACUGGAACGGGGACACGGUCCAGACUCCUACGGGAGGCAGCAGUGGGGAAUAUUGGACAAUGGGCGCAAGCCUGAUCCAGCCAGACCGCGUGGGUGAAGAAGGCGUUCGGGUUGUAAAGCCCUUUUGUUGGGAAAGAAAAGCAGCAGGUUAAUACCCCGCUGUUCUGACGGUACCCAAAGAAUAAGCACCGGCUAACUUCGUG